ensembl:snRNA U6 U6 spliceosomal RNA
GUGCUCACUUCGGCAGCACAUAUUCUAAGAUUCGAACAAUACAGAGAAGAUUAGGAUGGCCCCUGCGCAAGGAUGACACGCAAAUUUGUGAAGCAUUUUAUAUUCAA